rnacentral:rRNA from 1 species
UACGUAGGUGGCAAGCGUUGUCCGGAUUUACUGGGCGUAAAGAGCGCGCAGGCGGUCGUUCAAGUCGCGUGUGAAAGCCCCCGGCUCAACUGGGGAGGGUCACGCGAUACUGCUCGACUUGAAGGCAGGAGAGGGAAGGUGGAAUUCCCGGUGUAGUGGUGAAAUGCGUAGAUAUCGGGAGGAAGACCAGUGGCGAAGGCGGGUCUCUGGACAGUUCCUGACGCUGAGGCACGAAGGUCAGGGGAGCAAACGGG